GGGGAAUAUUGCGCAAUGGGGGAAACCCUGACGCAGCAACGCCGCGUGGAGGAAGAAGGUCUUCGGAUUGUAAACUCCUGUCUUCUGGGACGAUAAUGACGGUACCAGAGGAGGAAGCCACGGCUAACUACGUGCCAGCAGCCGCGGUAAUACGUAGGUGGCGAGCGUUGUCCGGAAUUACUGGGCGUAAAGGGCGCGUAGGCGGCUCUUUAAGUCAGAUGUGAAAACCCAGGGCUUAACUUUGGGACUGCAUUUGAAACUGAAGGGCUUGAGUGCAGGAGAGGUAAGUGGAAUUCCUAGUGUAGCGGUGGAAUGCGUAGAUAUUAGGAGGAACACCAGUGGCGAAGGCGACUUACUGGACUGUAACUGACGCUGAGGCGCGAAAGCGUGGGGAGCAAACA
rnacentral:rRNA from 1 species